rnacentral:rRNA from 1 species
GACGAACGCUGGCGGCGUGCCUAAUACAUGCAAGUAGAACGCUGAAGGAGGAGCUUGCUUCUCUGGAUGAGUUGCGAACGGGUGAGUAACGCGUAGGUAACCUGCCUGGUAGCGGGGGAUAACUAUUGGAAACGAUAGCUAAUACCGCAUAAUAGUAGAUGUUGCAUGACAUUUGCUUAAAAGGUGCAAUUGCAUCACUACCAGAUGGCCUGCGUUGUAUUAGCUAGUUGGUGGGGUAACGGCUCACCAAGGCGACGAUACAUAGCCGACCUGAGAGGGUGAUCGGCCACACUGGGACUGAGACACGGCCCAGACUCCUACGGGAGGCAGCAGUAGGGAAUCUUCGGCAAUGGACGGAAGUCUGACCGAGCAACGCCGCGUGAGUGAAGAAGGUUUUCGGAUCGUAAAGCUCUGUUGUAAGAGAAGAACGAGUGUGAGAGUGGAAAGUUCACACUGUGACGGUAUCCUACCAGAAAGGGACGGCUAACUACGUG